CCUGGUACAUAAACUGACCGUCGGGGAGAUAUAAAUACAGGCGGAGGAGAUUUUGCCUCACACCCUUCAGUGUUCCUCCAAGAAAAGGAAUGCACCAUGGAUAAGCGAAUAUUAAUCCUGGUUCUUUUAGUGUCUUCGCUGUGCAUAAUGGCUGAUGCUCAUGAGAAGAGGAGUCCGCUAGCCAGAAGUGGCCCAAGCCGUCCGCCAG